GAAAUAAUCAUUUUUUGAUAUUUUAUUUAAUUCUAGAGAAUUGAAAAAUAUAUUGAAACAAUUCAACUUCUAUUUGAAACAUUUUUUUGGAAAAAAAAUGAUAUAAAUCAAAGUGAUACUAUCAUAUGAGACAAUCUGUAUUUUAUUCAGCAGAUAUGAAAAAUUCGGAUUAAGUUUAAGAAAAAUUAAUAAUUAUAUUAUUAAAGGUCUCUAUGCAAGUGACUCGAAAUCUAAAUGGUUAAAAGAAAAAAUUGCUCAAAAUGAUGCAAGACAAGUUUAAUUAAAUUUAUAAGUUUCUAUAUUAAUAAUUUCCAGCCAUUUCUAAAACUCAACAGUCACUUUGUUGAAAUAAGAACAGAGAGAAAUACAGUGAGGAUUUGCCUCUGUCUAAGUGCGUUACGAAUUUUAAUGACGAUGAAGCCUCUACCCUCUUGGCUACUGCGUCGCUUUACAAACGCGUGGGUAUGAAAAGGUGUCAUGUUUCCAGGGUUUCACGCUCAACCCUCCGGGGAUCGGCAAACCACUUAGUUGUAAUGAUAGUUUCUCGCCACGAUCGUAUCUAAAGUUGUGGAAGAAUUGCAUCGAUUUCCUAAUAUAAUAAUUUGUUUAAUCACUGUAUACAUGUGUAAACUUCUUAAUCGUGAUCUACUAUUACUACUCUUUACAUGAGUUAACUGUUUUAAAAGAUUGUUGAUUUCUUAUAAAUUGGAUUUUAAUUUAAUUGUAUUAAUCAAUUUUAAAAUUAAAUUUGAAUUAAUUUUUUUAAAGUAACAAAGAUAAUAUCAGUCAGGUUUCCUAUUGAAAGCUGUUUGAACAUUUAUCGUGGCAAUUAUUAGUUAUCCCAACACUACUUUCUAUUCAUUAAAAUACUCACAGCAUCAACAAGAGAAGCGAGAAAACAUACAAUUUAACACCGGGCACAGCUUCUAACAGGAUCUUUGCGCAACGAACAGAGCAAAUAUAAUUGGAUCUAAACGUGUUCGGAAUUCAUGAACCCUGCUAAUUAUGUUUGACUUACGAAUUUGAAAUAAAUUCAUGAAAUGGUACAGAGAAAGAAGAUUGUAUGAGAAAUUAUAAUGCGUAUUUCUUCGUGACAUCUUUUGUGUCACCUUAAAGAGUUUCAAAAUAAAUAGUAAAAAAAA